ensembl:miRNA oar-mir-668 oar-mir-668
CGGGAGUCACCGCUGCUUAGGGUAAGUGCGUCUCGGGUGAGCAUGCAAUGAAUUGCUCGCAUGUCACUCGGCCCACUACCCAAGGUUGUUCCACCCCUUCCUUAC